rnacentral:rRNA from 2 species
UACGGGGGGGGCAAGCGUUGUUCGGAAUUACUGGGCGUAAAGGGCGCGUAGGCGGCUUUAUAAGUCGGGGGUGAAAGCCUGUGGCUCAACCACAGAAUUGCCUUCGAUACUGUAGAGCUUGAGACCGGAAGAGGUAAGUGGAACUGCGAGUGUAGAGGUGAAAUUCGUAGAUAUUCGCAAGAACACCAGUGGCGAAGGCGGCUUACUGGUCCGGUUCUGACGCUGAGGCGCGAAAGCGUGGGGAGCAAACAGG